UUACAUAAAUGGUGACACCUCACAGCUGU
rnacentral:piRNA from 1 species